rnacentral:rRNA from 1 species
UACGUAGGGUGCAGGCGUUAAUCGGAAUUACUGGGCGUAAAGCGUGCGCAGGCGGUUCUCCAAGUCCGUUGUGAAAGCCCCGGGCUCAACCUGGGAAUGGCAGUGGAAACUAGGGGACUGGAAUCUGGCAGAGGGGGGUGGAAUGCCGCGUGUAGCAGUGAAAUGCGUAGAGAUGCGGCGGAACACCGAUGGCGAAGGCAGCCCCCUGGGCUGAGAUUGACGCUCAGGCACGAAAGCGUGGGGAGCAAGCAGG